AACGCUGGCGGCAGGCUUAACACAUGCAAGUCGAACGCCCGAGCAAUCGGGAGUGGCAGACGGGUGAGUAACACGUGGGAACAUACCCUUCGGUUCGGAACAACGUUUGGAAACGAACGCUAAUACCGGAUACGGCUUGAGGGCGAAAGAUUCAUCGCCGAAGGAUUGGCCCGCGUUCGAUUAGCUAGAUGGCGGGGUAACGGCCCACCAUGGCGACGAUCGAUAGCUGGUCUGAGAGGAUGGCCAGCCACAUUGGGACUGAGACACGGCCCAAACUCCUACGGGAGGCAGCAGUGGGGAAUAUUGGACAAUGGGCGCAAGCCUGAUCCAGCCAUGCCGCGUGAGUGAUGACGGCCUUAGGGUUGUAAAGCUCUUUCGCACGCGACGAUAAUGACGGUAGCGUGAGAAGAAGCCCCGGCUAACUUCGUGCCAGCAGCCGCGGUAAUACGAAGGGGGCUAGCGUUGUUCGGAAUCACUGGGCGUAAAGGGUGCGUAGGCGGAUUCUUAAGUCAGGGGUGAAAUCCCGAGGCUCAACCUCGGAACUGCCUUUGAU
rnacentral:rRNA from 1 species